rnacentral:rRNA from 1 species
UGGCGAACGGGUGAGUAAUACAUCGGAACGUGCCCAGUAGUGGGGGAUAACCCGGCGAAAGCCGGACUAAUACCGCAUACGACCUACGGGUGAAAGCAGGGGAUCGCAAGACCUUGCGCUAUUGGAGCGGCCGAUGUCAGAUUAGCUUGUUGGCGGGGUAAAAGCCCACCAAGGCGACGAUCGGUAUCCGGCCUGAGAGGGCGCACGGACACACUGGAACUGAAACACGGUCCAG